GAGCCGCGUGGCGUAGUGGUUAAGUGCUUUCACUGCCACUCACACGGUCAGGAGUUCGAGCCCCCUGUGGGUCA
rnacentral:tRNA from 1 species